ACAGAGAGAGAGAGUAUCUGUGUAACACAUUGAGCAGCAGAAUCUUACAGCAGAAGGGUAACUCUAACCCUAAUUCCCUAACCCAAAGAACACUACUUACAGACAAGAAGCAGAAGAGUUGUUUAAAUGGAAGAUCUGUGCACUCUUAGUGGUCUGGAUCCUCUCUGGGUGAGUCUCUCAUUAAAUAUCUGACCAAUAAUCUGAUUAAUUUAAAGAUACUUUUUAACCUUUUUAAAUCAGUCAGAUGUUAAGUUUAUGUUUAUAUUAAACUUAACUGAAAUACAGUACAGUCUCUAUCAGUCAGUGUUUGGUUAGUCCAUUCUAGGUUAUUGUAGAAACAUGCGUCUCAUUCUAAGGCAACAGAAACACAUUAAUUCUUAUUUUCAGGUGGUUAUAGACUAAUGAAAACAUAACUAUGGAUAUUAUAUUCCAAUAUUGUGACACAAUGGAGCUUUAAACUAUUUCAACCUAUUGACACGUCACUCACCUGUGAGAUGUGAACACUGAUGGUGUUUUCUGGUUUCAGGACUGGAAUCUGACCUGGUACACCUCGCAACCAGACCUGACCCAGUGUUUCCAGCACACUGUACUGGUUUGGUCCCCCUGCGUUUACCUGUGGACCUGUUCUCCUCUUUACCUGCUGUACCUGCAGUUCCGCCCACACCGAGGCUUCAUCCCACUGUCCAAACUCUGCUGCAGCAAGACGCUUAUGGGUCUCAGUCUGGCUUCGUUCGGCCUACUGGAGAUUUUUUACUUCCUGGUGAAGAAAAAUGAAGAGACCCAGAACCACCUGUUGAUCCUGAUGGGCCCACUGAUUCGGAGCCUAACCCUGGUUCUUGCUGUUGUUAUAAUCCAGGUAGAGCGGAUGAAGGGCUGUCGUUCGUCUGUCCUCCUCUUCCUCUUCUGGACUCUUCUGGUUCUCUGCUCCCUCGUUCCUCUGAAGGUUGACAUUGAGCAGAUCAUUU